rnacentral:rRNA from 1 species
CGCGGCCUAUCAGCUUGUUGGUGAGGUAACGGCUCACCAAGGCAUCGACGGGUAGCUGGUCUGAGAGGACGAUCAGCCACACUGGGACUGAGACACGGCCCAGACUCCUACGGGAGGCAGCAGUAGGGAAUCUUGCGCAAUGGGCGAAAGCCUGACGCAGCAACGCCGCGUGGGGAAUGAAUGCCUUCGGGUUGUAAACCCCUUUCAGCAGGGACGAAAAUGACGGUACCUGCAGAAGAAGCUCCGGCCAACUACGUGCCAGCAGCCGCGGUAAUACGUAGGGAGCGAGCGUUGUCCGGAAUUAUUGGGCGUAAAGAGCUCGUAGGCGGUUCAGUAAGUCGGGUGUGAAAACUCAAGGCUCAACCUUGAGACGCCACUCGAUACUGCUGUGACUUGAGUCCGGUAGAGGAGUGUGGAAUUCCUGGUGUAGCGGUGAAAUGCGCAGAUAUCAGGAGGAACACCAGCGGCGAAGGCGGCACUCUGGGCCGGUACUGACGCUGAGGAGCGAAAGCAUGGGGAGCAAACAGGAUUAGAUACCCUGGUAGUCCACGCCGUAAACGGUGGGAACUAGAUGUGGGGUCCGUUCCACCGAUUCCGUGUCGCAGCUAACGCAUUAAGUUCCCCGCCUGGGGAGUACGG